AUGGACUGGCCAUGGCGAACAGAGAACGAUGAUGAUGAGCGGACAGUUGUCGAACACAGCCAGGUAGGAAAAGGAAGGCGACACCGCGUGGCGGUGGUUGCGCGACAUAGGCGGUCGUCUCCUAUCGACGACCAAGUGGUCCUAGAAGCCUCCACACUCCGCCUCCUCCUCGAGAUUUACCAGCAGGCGACGGGCAUGGAUCGUCGGGGCUCAAAAUUCGUCGUCUCCAGCAUGGUAAGGGCGAAACCUGAUUACCUAAGAUUGAUGUGCUGUGGACGGAAGCUUAAAGGGGAGAAAAAAAUCUGA
rnacentral:rRNA from 1 species